rnacentral:rRNA from 1 species
CCUACGGGUGGCUGCAGUGAGGGAUAUUGCGCAAUGGGCGAAAGCCUGACGCAGCGACGCCGCGUGGGCGAGGAAGGCCUUCGGGUUGUAAAGCCCUUUUGGCAGGGAAGAGCAAGGACUGUACCUGCAGAACAAGUCACGGCUAACUACGUGCCAGCAGCCGCGGUAAAACGUAGGUGGCGAGCGUUGUUCGGAUUUACUUGGCGUAAAGAGCGCGUAGGCGGUUUGAUAAGUCAUGGGUGAAAGCUCUCAGCGCAACUGAGGUUACGCCCAUGAAACUGUCGGACUUGAGUUUAGGAGAGGAGAGCGAAAUUCCCGGUGUAGCGGUGAAAUGCGUAGAUAUUGGGAGGAACACCGGUGGCGAAGGCGGCUCUCUGGACUA